AUGAGUAAGGGUGAGCGUUACAUUAUGGGCGAUCAAGAAGACCUAUGACCUAGAUCAAUGACCUUCAUUGCACUUUGGAGGGGUGUUGGUCUACAAUCUCCUCAAGUUGGGAGAGUGGACAUCAUAAUUUUUGGUAGUGGGGGUACGUGUUCAUGCGGUCCCCGC